UUCCAAGAAUCUAUUGGUGACCUUAAGUGAGGACUUACUGUACGUGAAGCUAUUCAUUUGUAAACCUUCAGUGAUGAUGGAGAAACAGAGUCCUGAAGGAAGGACAGCUGGAUUCCUGCACCACCCGGAACCAUCCUUUGUAUCCAUAUCUGCGAGUAUAUAGUACCCAAUGGAACAGUAAUUAAUGGUAGCUAGCUCAUGCCUAACUAUUGUCUUCUCAUUUUGAAGACAGGGAGAAUUAAAUUGUUUAGCCCUUCUUUUAUAGGUAGGACCGAGAGGCUCCAUAUAGCCAACGAGUUGUGAUGAAUAGUGACUGAAGUGCUUCAUCGAUGAUGGAAGAUGCUCCAUUGCUCAGUUUCCUUUUCGUGGGACCUCAACACUUGACUUGGCAGCAGUGUCAUCAUCCAGGGUCCCUGAGAAACGACAGUGAGCAGAGCAUCACACAUAUGUCAGCCAACCUUGAUGUUAUCAUACUUCAAUCGUCCUGCACCUCCCUUCUGAACCAACCCUCCCUGUGAUCUAUAAGCCCUGGGUCUGGGGGUCAUGGAGCAGGGGACCCACCAUCCUGUCUCACCGCCACCUGAGAUGCUGACGGGGCUCCUGUUCGUAAGUCCCUAUUAAAUGUUUCUUUCUGAGAAACUGGAUACAUCAGCCUCUUUCUUCAGCCUGUUGGCUUCCUCGGACUUUGUGAGUAGGUUUGCAUAGACCUGCCCACUGUGGAACAGGCCAGAGAAAAGAAUGUGAGGGGCAGGUGAUGAGAAACGGGGCUGCAGCCGUAAAAGGAAAUCUAGCCACACCCAAAGCACGCCUAGAUCGUCUUCCUAUCACAGCAAGUGAAACUUCUCAAGGUCAAUUUCUUCUCUUUGUCCACAAGGAGUCAUUUGAAAUGAAGUCCUGCUGGGCACAGAAGACAAAAAGAUCUGUUAGCUCUCCCAACAUCUGUGCCUAAUCAUUCAGUAACUUGCCUCAAAGCUAGCUUACACAGAGCAGGGGCUGGGUCCUGCAGUAUCAUGGUGUUCUCCCAUUCCAGAGAGACAGUCUUAUCUCCCUCCCCUCCUCCCAUCUGCCAUCAGCUUUAUGGAACCCAAAUUCUCCGGCUGCAAAGCUUCCAAAAGAUGUCUGAGAGGAAACUCUUGACUUGGCAGUCGAUGCCUCUGAAUUGCUGAGCAGUGAAUGGAAUUUCUGCCUCUCACUCCACCCACUUUGUAGGACUCUGGAACCCAGGAAACACAUGAUACUGCUUGCACGGGUAAUGUGAGGAGGAGAGAAAGAAACCCAUCCCGUGCACGAGGACAUCCAAGGAUAUACAAGGUUCCCCUCUAUGCCUUUAGAUUGGCCCUCUCUCCAUGCCCAGGAGGAGAAUUCGGCUCGUCUUCUCCUGCCAGCUCCAAAUUAUUUCUAGCUGGCUCAUCCAUCUCCCUGAAAGACCCAGAGGAUUAAGAGACAUGGCAAGGCCUUCUGAUGGACAUUGAACUCACUGACUCGGCACGCACUGUAGCAAAGGUUUGCACAGAAACUUUACACCCAGAGCCAAUAAAGUCUGUGCCAUCAAAAGCAAGUCAAAACACAAUGGCAUCCAGCAAAGCAGCCAGCAGAUUGUCAGCCUGUCCUCUUAAGCAAAAGUUCUGCAGGAGAGCCAGCGGAGAAGCUUGAGAAGGAGCCAGGAAGGGAGUGAGUUCCACAUGCCCCAUGCUGCUCCUGCCACCGCUGCCACAGCUGCUGCUGGAAAAACACAUUCCAGCAUCUGGUAUCGGAGACCCGCAGCUGGGGUGCGCCCUGCCUGUGUGGCCAGGAGUGCCCUCUGAAAGGCACAGCCAAGAGGGGAGAGGACAGGGCAGGUACAACUAGGGGUGCCAGUCCCACGAGGCCGGGCCAACUCUGCCUUGCCAUCCGAUGCCAGCCUAUUUCCUUGUGCCAUAAUGGCCAGGUUUAAGAAAUGUCAACCUUGUGUUCUGAAAAUGAUCAAUGCUCUGGAAUAAAGAGGUGUCUUUUCCAGCCAUGCCCCAAUCUACUCAUGAGAAGCAGGGGCUGGGGAACAAAUCUCCAAUAGGAAGAAUAACAGAGCAGGGAUGAAGCGAGGCUGGCAGCAGGCGGGACCUCCUCCAGCAAACACAUGGAAAGAGACUGAAAGCAGCAUGUGGCUUCCAACCAACACCCCAGCACUCUCUCCAACUCAGGCCACAGUGGGGAGAUUUGCUUCCCUGCUGUUUUCUUACCAGCAGAGCAUUUUUUUAAAAUUAUUAUUAUACUUUAAGUUUUAGGGUACUUGUGCACAAUGUGCCAGUUAGUUACAUAUGUAUACAUGUGCCAUGCUGGUGUGUUGCACCCAUUAACUCGUCAUUUAGCAUUAAGUAUAUCUCCUAAUGCUAUCCUUCCCCCCUCCACCCACCCCACAACAGGCCCCGGUGUGUG
rnacentral:lncRNA from 1 species